AUUCUCUUAGUAUAAAAAAUAUUUUUGACUUCCAAUCAAAAGAUCAAAAAAAAAAUUGAAAGAAUA
rnacentral:tRNA from 1 species